rnacentral:tRNA from 1 species
AAGACACUAGUUAAGUUGUUUAUAACACUGCCUUGUCAAGGCGGAAUUGUGGGUUAAAUUCCCGCGUGUCUUG